rnacentral:tRNA from 1 species
GCAGAGGUGGCUCAGUGGUUAAGAGCACUGGCUGCUCUCCUAGAGGACCUGAGUUCAAUUCCCAGCACCUACA